rnacentral:rRNA from 1 species
CGGCCGCGUCGACGCAACGCGAAGAACCUUACCUACACUUGACAUCCCUUGCAUUACUCUUAAUCGAGGAAAUCCCUUCGGGGACGAAGGUGACAGGUGGUGCAUGGUUGUCGUCAGCUCGUGUCGUGAGAUGUUGGGUUAAGUCCCGCAACGAGCGCAACCCUUGUCGUUAGUUACUACCAUUAAGUUGAGGACUCUAGCGAGACUGCCUGGGUUAACCAGGAGGAAGGUGGGAUGACGUCAAAUCAUCAUGCCCCUUAUCGUGUAGGGCUACACACGUGCUACAAUGGCUGGUACAGAGAGAUGCAAUACCGCGAGGUG